UCAAUCAUAUAAUAUAAGUCCUACUUGUAUUAGGAUUCCUAUUAACUUAAGUUAUCCAACUUACAUUAGGAAGCCCAUUAGGCGUCAACUAUUGGAGCCUUUGCACCCAUAAUUAGGCACCCUCUUUUGCACCCAAAAGACACCCCAUAUGAGAACUAAAGGUCCGCUAAUCAAUGGACAUACCCAAAUUGAACAAUUCAAAGUGGCGCCCCA
rnacentral:lncRNA from 1 species